rnacentral:rRNA from 1 species
GAUGAACGCUGGCGGCGUGCCUAAUACAUGCAAGUCGAGCGAACAGACGAGGAGCUUGCUCCUCUGACGUUAGCGGCGGACGGGUGAGUAACACGUGGAUAACCUACCUAUAAGACUGGGAUAACUUCGGGAAACCUGAGCUAAUACCGGAUAAUAUAUUGAACCGCAUGGUUCAAUAGUGAAAGACGGUUUUGCUGUCACUUAUAGAUAGAUCCGCGCCGCAUUAGCUAGUUGGUAAGGUAACGGCUUACCAAGGCAACGAUGCGUAGCCGACCUGAGAGGGUGAACAGCCACACUGGGACUGAGACACGGUCCAGAAUGCUACGGGAGGCAAGAGUAGGGAAACUUCGGCCAAGGGCGGAAGCCUGACGGAACAAAGGCGGGGUGGUGAUGGAGGUCUUCGGAUCGGAAAACUACUUUAUUAGGGAAGAACAAAUAUGUAAGUAACUAUGCGCGUCUUGACGGUACCUAAUCAGAUAACCACGGCUAACUACCUG